rnacentral:rRNA from 1 species
GCCAGACUCCUACGGGAGGCAGCAGUGAGGAAUAUUGGUCAAUGGGCGGGAGCCUGAACCAGCCAAGUCGCGUGAGGGAAGACGGUCCUACGGAUUGUAAACCUCUUUUGCCGGGGAGCAACGGGGUCCUUGCGAGGGCCCGAUGAGAGUACCCGGAGAAAAAGCAUCGGCUAACUCCGUGCCAGCAGCCGCGGUAAUGCGGAGGAUGCGAGCGUUAUCCGGAUUUAUUGGGUUUAAAGGGUGCGUAGGCGGGCUGUUAAGUCAGCGGUCAAAUGUCGGGGCUCACCCCCGGCCUGCCGUUGAAACUGGCAGUCUCGAGUUGGAGAGAAGUAUGCGGAAUGCGCGGUGUAGCGGUGAAAUGCAUAGAUAUCACGCAGAACUCCGAUUGCGAAGGCAGCGUACCGGCGCCCAACUGACGCUCAUGCACGAAAGCGUGGGUAUCGAACAGGAUUAGAUACCCGGGUA